rnacentral:rRNA from 1 species
CGGCUAACUCUGUGCCAGCAGCCGCGGUAAGACAGAGGGUGCAAACGUUGUUCGGAAUUACUGGGCGUAAAGCGUGUGUAGGCGGCUCUGCAGGUCGGAUGUGAAAUCCCUCGGCUCAACCAAGGAAGUGCAUUCGAAACCGCAAAGCUAGAGUGUCGGAGAGGAAGGCGGAAUUGUCGGUGUAGAGGUGAAAUUCGUAGAUAUCGACAGGAACACCUGCGGCGAAAGCGGCCUUCUGGACGAACACUGACGCUGAGACACGAAAGCGUGGGGAGCAAACAGGAUUAGAUACCCUGGUAGUCCACGCCGUAAACGAUGGGUGCUAGAUGUCACGGGCUUUGACCCCUGUGGCGUCGUAGCCAACGCGUUAAGCACCCCGCCUGGGGAGUACGGCCGCAAGGCUAAAACUCAAAGGAAUUGACGGGG